UCGAUAGAGAGAAGAAUUCAUUUCUUUUCUUUUCUUCUCUUUCUCCUUCUUCGUUCUUCUUCUCCGUUUUUCUUCAUAAAACAUGUUAAAUUCAAUUCACAGGAUUGAGUUAAAUCUCGUGAGCAGUUCUUCGAAAGAACCUGAUUGAUAGAAGAUAAAGGUGAUGGUGUUGUUGUUGUUCAGUUUUAUGAAGAAGAACAAUUGAAGACUGUUCUAGGUUCGUGAUAAAUCCGAGAAGAUCGAAUCAGGGUUUGAUUUGAAUUCGAGAAGUGAUGUGGGUUGUUAAUGGAUGAGGAAGAGAAGGGUUGUUGUUGAAUUGACGAGGUGAAGCUUUUCUGGUGUUGAAUCGAAAAGUUAAGGUAAAUCAGAAACUCUAAAUUAAGGUUCCUUUGUAUUGAUGAGUAAUUCAUUUUAGUUUGUGUUUGAAUUCGUAAAUCUUUGAUGGGUUUAAUCUUAAUUGAAGUUGAGUUAGGCGUGUGUAAUUUAAUUUAAGUUUCUUUAGGAAUCAGGAAUUGAGGUUCUUAUCAAAUUAGGGUUGUUUAAGGUAGUUUUGGGUCUGUGGUGGAAGAAUUGGAAUCGGGUGAUGGAGUUAUGUUUAAUUAGGGUUUCCUGUUAGUAGAAUGGCAGGAGGAAGAGCUAUAGAAGGUGAUUGAGAAUGAAGUGAACAAGAGAUGUUGUUGAUGGAGGCAAUGAACAGAUAUAGGUGAUGAUUGUGUUGGUUCUCAAGUAAGGAAUGAAGCUAGAAUUCAGAGUGAGUAUAGAGAAGGGAUUGAAUUGAAGUACAUGAGGUUUAUAAUAUUGCAGUGAGAAUAGGCAUUAUAGGAUUCUUGUUAUGCCUUAGUUGGUUGUUUAGGUUGGUUGCAGUUAAUGAGUUUAGUGUAGUGCAACCUAGAUGAUGAAAGUGAAAUGGAACAAUGAAUGUUACUUAGGUCUGUAAUGAAAAUUUCAAGGGGUGUGUUGUAGCUACAAUUGAGGGUGGUGGCUUUAGAGUGGAUGAAGUUGAAAUGGGUGUUGCAGGUGGUAAUGCUUAUGCUGGUUGUGGUGGACAUGGAAUUACAGAUAUGAAGAUGGUAGUUCUGAAAUGGUUGUGGCUGAGCUAUGGUGGUUUGAAUGGUACUUUAAAAGGGAGGUAUGUGGUGAUACAAUGAUGACAGGGUGGGAUUAGUCUGAACUGGUGCUAUUGCAGGAUUUAUAAGAAGAAUGAAUUGUGUUGAGAUGUGUUGGUGCAACUGAACUUGAGUUGAAUUCAAGAGCUAGUGGAUAUUGAAAUAAUAAUGCUGAGAAUGUGGCAGUGAAGCUAUAAUUGCAUGAAUGCAAGUUCUGGUGAUAUUAGGAUUGUGAUGAUGAUGAUGUAAUGAGACUUGUUUAUAUGGAAGUGUUAUUAGAGUUGCAGUUCAUAGAGUCAUGGAAAUAUAGUAUUUGAUUUGAAUCAAUGAAGAGAUGAUUAAACUAUGUAUCUUGGCACGAGGAGUUAGAAAUGCAUCAUUUGAGCAUUGUUCUGUUUUUGUGUUGCAUUAGAAAUAUGCCUGAUAGUCAUCCCAGUCAGUCUAGCUGACUUAUCUGACUUAGAUCAUCUGACUGAGUUGAAUCAGUCUAACCAUGAGUUGACUCUUUUGACCUGACCUUGACUGUUGACCAGAUUUUGACUAGUUUGACUUAACCAUUGACUGGACCUUGACUCGACAUUGGACAUCGACCGUUAAGUGACCAUUUGACUGUGAGUUUGACAGUUAGUUGACCAUAAUGGGCCAAAUUGUUGGGCUUAGGGCCAGCUUUCCUAAUAUGAUGAUUUGGACCCUUAAGAUCUGAAUUAGCUUUCGGUUCUUUCUACAGAGUUGUAGAUAAUCAUAAGACUUAUCUAAUGAACUAUAGAACCAACCCAAUUCAACAAGUAAACCUUAGUUGUGAUAGAGUUAGAUAAUUAAAAGAUGUAGAGCUAUAAAUGGGCUUAGAACCAUUAGAUAGUUCACUUAGCCUAUAACUAGAGAAUUGUAUGAGAUUAUGGUAUGAGCCUUGUAUGAGCCUUUUGGAUAAUCUCCAGAGUGCUUGUGUGAUUAACAGUUAGUUGUUAUUAACAACAAACGAUUCAAAAGGACGAAGCAGUGGAUUGUGGAUUUCAAGGCAGGCAUGGUUUGCCUACAAACCAGUUUCAGUAAUCAGAAGAAAAGGUGCGCGUGAAGAUAUGUGUUUUCGUACCUUAAAGCUUUUUAUCGAAUUAGAGAUGUAAUGCUAGCUUCCGUUAUGUUUAUUUCGUGAUUAUAUUCUAUUUGUAAAUCAACUCACUAUUGAAUAUGUAUCAUUAGAGAUGAGUUCUUGUAUUCA